GUGCUCGCUUUGGCAGUGCAUAUACUAAAAUUGGAACAAUACAGAGAAAUUGGUAUGGCCCCUGUGCAAGGAUGAUGCGCAAAUUCGUGAAGUGUUCCGUAUUUUU